UUAAUACCAGAACUAAAAGGGAUCGAGCAUUUUGUUGUCCAACGAAGCAACUUCCUAAAACAUAAAGAGGAAGACUCGUCGUCAGAUAUAUCUUUUCUCGAGGGUAGUCAAGGCAACGGGAAGGCAAGGCUCGUCGUCGAUAGACAGGCUCGAUAAAUUGGCCUUUAAACGUCGUUCGCUAUCUUCGAAGAACAAUCUCGUUUGCGAGGCACGAGCGUACGGUGGUCAACGAGAUCGUACUAUACUUCGAGAAGAAGCCAAGAGAACAUGCGUCGAUUCUGGGAACUUUGGAGGGGGAGAAAGCUUUAUUGCACUUUUUUUUUUAAGUACAAAUCGGAACAUAUGAUAGAGGGAAACAAAUCAUACGGCAUAAUACGUCCUAACUUUUUUUUUUAUCUUAUUUUCUUUCUGUAGAUACACCCGUGCACCAACGAAUUGCAAUUGCAUUUUAUAUAUCUGAUUUUCUUUUAUUAUUAUUUUAUC